CCUCCCUCCAAUUUUGUGUUUGCUUUUGGAAUACUGUCCGUGGGAUGAUAGUUAUGUACCGCCUGCUCAAUGUUUUCCUCUUAAAUCCAUACGAUGGCAUAUAUCUACCCGUCCGAAAUUCAAAAGAGCAACAACCGGUUACUCAAGAGGUUUGCACGUCCGGUUACUCAAGAGAGUGAGGAGCUUUUUGGGUACUCGAAAAUAAGGAAUCUUGAAUCCAGCUGGUUUAAGUGACAGGGUGGUGGACCGGUGGUAUGGCUGUGGCGGAGGCGAUGGUUUAUGGGUUUGUUGCUAGUGGCUUAUGGGUGUGUUGGUAGUGGUUAUGGUGUUAGAGCGGAAACAAGGAUUUGUUAGUGGUGAUUUAUGUGCAUUGUGGUUUUGCAGUGGUUGUGCAAUGGCGGAGAUGGUGGUCUUGGUGAAGACGACAAUGACAGGUGAAGGUGGUGGCCUAGUUGAAUAAAUGGUGGUGAUUAUGGUUAGAUGGGUUCAGACUUAAAAAUUAUAUGGGAUUGUGUUAACUUGUUUUUUUAAGUAUUUUUUAUUUAAAAUAUAUUAAAAUAAUAUAUUUUUUUAAAUUUUUUAAAUUUAAUUUUUAAUAUUUUUAGAAUGAAGAUUUGCACGAUGGAGGUUGAAAUGCAUUCCAUGGCAAUGAAGAUAGAUAUGGAAGAAUAUUUUUAUAUAUAUGUACGGUUUUAUAUAUU